GCACGCACGCACAUACACUGCACACACUCACACACACACACACACACACACACACACACACACACACACACACACACACACACACACACACACACACACACACACACACACACACACACACACACACACAAACACUGUGGUCUUCCCAAGAGAAGUGCCUUUACAAACUCUUCCACACGUCGUAUGGCUUACCGUGCUUACAUUCUGAUAUUUUUGCCAAAUUGUUAUUAUAUGGUUGCAUAAGGAUAUAAACGUUUCCAUCCUUAUCCUGCUGACUUAAACGCACGCGCGCACAGACAACACGCGCAUCAGCACUCAGCUUGUUGGUGCGUUCCGACCAUCGAGAACACGGGUUGACGUGUUUUCACGUCCGCACUUCCUCAACACCCGGGAUGACGUUCAGGGCUUCUCUGUACUUCGGGAAGUCUCCAGUUCGCCGACCCACCUUCAUCAUGGAGACAGUGGGAACUGUCGGUCUCGGAUCCACAAGUUAAUCUGUCGUUCAGGAGGUCCUGCAUCAUAGGUGGUGAAUUCUGACCAUCUCGUUUCUGGGAGAAACUGGACAUCAAGUUAUUUCGACGGCUUGUUCGACGAAGUUUUCCAAAAGAUGCUGGCUGGGUUGCAGAGGAAGGUCGGACAGGGUCACUAGGCCACAGUCGCCCUUCAGCCAACCAUGGAACGAGAGGGAUCCUUUAGGAGUGAAAACGGGGCUGUGGGUGUGAUGGUGGCGCCCCUUGGUAGAUGACCUCUCCUGCUGUACGCCUAACCGCUGCACCUAGAGCCGACUGGAGGCCUUGUGGAGAGAGCCUACAGAGCCGUCUGAGGCAGGGCAGCAGCUCCUCCAGCCUGACCGACCUGUCCCAGGGGGGAGGGGGAGGAGUGGGG
ensembl:lncRNA